AGCCAAGAACCAAGUGACGUGACAGGGAACAAAUUGAACACAAAAUUGGGUAAUUCCUUCAUUUCUAACAGUGUUAGAUCGAGGAAGUGGUUUUGAAAGAAGUAAAAAUUUGGCUCUGUGUUUUUACAAAGAGACGUCCUUGGAAAAUUUGACUACUAACUUUAAACCCAAAUGUCCUUGUUCAUAUAUAUAUGUAUAUGUAUUUGUAUAUACAUAUAUGUGUGUAUAUAUUAUAUCAUUUCUCUUGGGAUUUUGGGUCAUUUUUAACAACUGCAUCUUUUUUACUCAUUCAUUAACCCUUUCCAAAAUAAACAUUUGGUGUUGGGAAUAUGGUAUACUCAAUCAAUCCAAAAUCCUAGACCUAACACUUGUUGAUUUUUAAUAAUGAAUCUGGUUAGCCGUGGUAUUUUGACUUUCAGACUAACAGUGUUAAGAAUUUUUCUGCAUGUUAAUGCUGUAGCAUUUAAAAUGAAAAAUGGUGCACAUGGUCCGAUUUCCAGAGGUGGUGCGUCUGGCAUUGCCCCCAAAGUGUCUAUCUUCUCGGUUGCGGAGCAUCUCAUUUACGUUCUUAAAUGCUCAAAUAACUGAAAAGCUCGACACAUCUUUCCUACUCGAGAACCAGAUCUCUCUUUUGGUUGCUAUUUAACUACCUAGGUUCUUAAUUUUAAAACGCUUGUUUUGUUUUGGGCUUUCUUUUAUGGAACCUUGCAAAUACUCAGGGUCUGGGAAUUCGUUGUGGAAUUGAACUCUGCGGUUAGGCCUUGCAAAUUGGAAAAAACUGGGGCAAAUGCCACUGAACUGCUAGUCUCUUUCCUUUCUGUCUCUGGCACUCUUGGUGCUACUAAGGAGUAGAACUGUUGGGGCACAUUCUUGUCACUGUUGCCAUACAGUUCGACUCCCGAGUUUCGUGGUUUUUGUUUGCUUUUCUUUACCCCCGUUGUUCCCUUUCUGGGGCUUACCUCCUGAUACCUGCCUACUUUCUGGAAGGGGUGGGCAGGUAAGGUUUGGUUUUUGUGGUUUCUAAUUAUUUCAUUUCUGAAUGACUGCUCUAGUCUGAACCUAGCCUUCUUUGGGCUAUAUUUUUAGUAUUGUAUCUGAACAAUUUGGUAAUUUAAAAACAGAUUCCGAUCUGAGGUUACUUUUCAAGAAGGAGAAUUCACUGGUGUCAUCCUCAUCCCAGCAGCUCAUCUGUUAGGAAUGAAGUUGAGAUUCUUUUCUUCAACAUUUCUGUAUUGGGGGAGGAUUCACAGCUGAAAGCUUAGCGUAACGGGGGUUCUUAGAUGAUGAAAUUUCCGCUCAGGAUAACAAACACCGAUGCUUGCCUCUGCAUCUCACUUGGGACCUAAUUGUCCCUUUUGAGUGUUUUAAUCAUGAUAUAGCUAAUCAGAGUGCGAAACUCUUAAUGCGCUAGGUAGCUAGCUGGUAUCACUGAGAAACGGUCCUACCAGUGUAACGUCUCUAAACUUAGGACUUGUUAUGCCUGACAUCUAUUAAGGUAUUUGCUUUUUUUCAUAAAAUGAAACCAAUUUUUGCCUAAAGCUAGCUGGGAUAAUAGGAUCAUCACGAGUUGCAGUUUCUAGAACUAAAAUUAGAUUGAAAUCUCAUCUGACCUAGAACAUUUCACUUCAGGCAUUCAGCAGCCUUCAGAAAGAAUUCCCUUAUUUUGAGUUAGUUCCAUUGUUAGUUUACUGUGUGUCUCUUUCUCAAUAAACAAGCAGAAUUUUUGUCCUGCCUCAUCUAGGUCUUAAAGAUGAGAAGUUGGAUCCAGUGAGUUAGUAUGUUUCCUUGGAAAAAAAAAUUGUAAUUAAACUUAAGUUUAAUCCUUAAUUUUGUAUUGUAACUAUUUUUCAUAAAAGCAACUUUAAAUAUCUUACACAGUUUGCGGGGCACUUGGCUGGCUCAGUAGAGCCUAUGGCUCUUGAUCUCAGGGCCUGAGUUUUAGCCCCACUUUGGGGGUAGACUUUACCUAAAAAAAAUAAAAAAUCUUACAAAAUUUUCACGGCAAUCAUAGACACAGGGUUUAUAUAAAUUACUACAUAAACAUCAACUUGUAAAAUAUUGAAAAAUUGGAUUUUUCAUAAAAUGCAUCAUUUACCAUUGACUGCUUUCAGAGAGACAUUUUCAGGUGGUAUAUUUUGAUUCCAAGCAAAAUACUGCUUGCUACUAAAAUAUGCCAGGCCCCGGAAUACAAACAACAAAAUUGUGUUUGAUCUUUGGUUUCUCGAAAUGUUUGUUUUGUCUUGGAUCUAGAACUUAGUGCCCCAGGCAGAUCUCAUGUGAAAUCCCCUCAGUAUAAAGCCAUGAAUGUGUACGGCAGGUUUUAAGGUGGCAUGAAAUAAGUUUGGGGAGCCUACUUCCCUAACCCCAGCCGUAUUUAUCCAGACCAUCUGUUGAGAAAUCUCCUAUGAAGUCUGGAGUUUGAAGACAGUCCCUUUUAGGUGACUUACUCCUUAUUUCAAUCUCUAUGUAAUAAGGGUGUUUAAAAGCAUGUUAUUCUCUUAGGGUCCACUACAGUCAUUUUUUUUAUUCAAGGAAGAGCUCUCCUGCAGCUCAACUCUUCACUAAUUCCAAGAAAUCCUUUCAGUGACGAUAACAUCAUAUAAUACAUUUUUCUGGUUAAAACUUUAGAAGGCACUUACCUAAUACAUCCUAUCAGUUUUUGUUCACGGAAUUAUACGCUGAGGUUUUCCAAAGCAGAGAAUUUGGUUUCUUAAAUGUAUCUUCAGCACAUGAAACUGUAUACUGCAGGGAUAUCUAUUCCUGGAAAAAUCCCCCGAACUGGUUGACAUAUUAAUAUAUUUUACGUUAUUAGUUUUAGUUUUUGAAAAUUGUAUAUGGGAUGUUUCUUCCAUGGAAAGGUGUGUGUGUAAUAAGUUGUUUCAGCAGUUCACUGUGAAUGUCCAAAAAGUCUUUUAAAGUCUGACUUACUCAGCUAAGAUGGGUUUAUUAUGUGUAAUAGACUUCUAUCCUAAUUACUUUUCUAAAGAAAAGAUCUUUUGAAGUACUCCUUUCCAAGGCCCAUCAAAAGACUAAGAAAUAAGGCGUUUCUCGUUUCUUGUAAAGCCCACUAUGAUGUGUACUAAUUUUCGGUGCUCUUAUGCUACAAGAUUAUAAUUAGUUUUUAUACAUGUUAAAGAGAAAAAUAAAAGAUUCACAUCUGAGACACUUCCAAAUUCAUUUCGCUUCCUUUUAUUCAACUGUAUGUGAUUAUCAGGAAAGUAGUUUUUAAGACAUUUAAGAAGUACUAAAGGGAAAAGGAAAUCUUUUUAGGACAUUCAGAAUCCAGUUAAGUUCACCAUUUCUUUAGUUGAGGUCAGAGAUGGGGAGAAUUUCAGAAGGUAGUGAAGCCAAAGUUGGAUCCUUACAUAAUUCUAUUAUCAUCUUAGUCCCUCUGUUCACUACUCCAAGCCGUUGAUAUUAAGCAUAGUUUUAUCAUAAUCACAUACGUGGAUGUCAGAUUGUUGACAGUCAAAAAAUAGAAAAUUUUUCUAUCACAUUCUCCUACCAUGUCCAUGGUCUUCCUUGAAUUAGCUUCCAGUGUUUACUGGAAUUCACCUACCAUUUAUGUCUAGCUUAACUUUUUCUGACUUCACCAAUUGCUGCUAGGAACGUGGCUGGUCACUCAGCAACGUAACCCAAAUCACAGGGGAAGACCUUGAAAUAAUCUGGAGACUGAUCUUCUCUGAAUACACUCAAUCUAAAGAAGUGCCAGGGAGCUGCAUCUACUUGCUGAAAUUUUUGUCAGCUUUUUUCAUUAUGGACACUACCACUGGAGAGAAAAGAGCUCAGUAACCCAACAGGAAACGAAGACGAGUGUGCAAGAAUUGAUUUGUGGUCAUCUGAAUGAAUCUCACAUCUCCAAGGCUGGCUGGACUUACCAAACAUGAACUUGUCCGAAAAUCUGGAUGAUACCACAACAGUCAGAAGAUCUAGAGGAGUACAGUGUUGCUGUGACUCAGUGGUGUAUAAUGCAGACCAUCUACCAGUUGGGGAAGGAAUCAAUUGUAACAGGAGCAAAGGGAUCCCUUCCUUAUUUUAACUGUUGUUGCAGUGAAGAUGGGUGUUUGGACUUUUAGAAGCCAGGAGACACCACCUAAAUUACAAGAUAAAAACCAAGGAAUCAAUGCACACUGGAAAAAGGAAUGCACUUGAAGAUUGAAUGUUGAAUACUUGCUGAAUGCUCCCAUUGAGAUUUUUCCUACAUAAACUUGAGUAACAUCUUAGGACAAUUCUCUGGAGAAACAUUGAUCCCUGGGUGGAGUAUCCUACCAUUGGCCCAUCUGAAGAGUUACAUCUGGAUCUGACUGCUCUAUUCCUCCAGGAAUAUUUUUAGGCUAGCCUCUGUCUGAUUCCUAAGCAAUUGUAAUCAUUAACUGACCCAGUAAUUUCUCAAAUAUCAGAUGAACAGAUACAAUUCUUACCUAGAUCUAAUUUUUAUCCCUAUUAAAGACACAAGAGUGUUCUAAUAUUUUGACAUUGUAACUUACGUUUUCUUUUUAGUUAGUGAUAGCGGUUUCUAUUUUAAAGCUGUUUGGAUAUUCAACGUAGUAAUUAGAUUAUUCAGUAUAACGUAAUCACAUAGCAAGGUGUGGUAAACAGUUUUCGUAGCUAUGUAAACAUUUUUCUGUAUCAUAUUUAAGAAUAAUUGCAGGACUUGAAAUCAAAUGCUCAUCAGGGUAAGGGUCAUCUCUAAUUAGCUAAUUCAUAGUUUUAAUUUGCUUCACAGUAUUCUGUAUUUUAACAUUGGAAUUACGUUACAGAAUAUGGUCUUAAUUUUAAGGUUUUUAAUUCAGGUUUGAUCUGACUGCCUUUUCUUUUUGUGCUUACUUUGCUAAUUCUCUUUAGUCAUACAUACCAAAUAGAAUAUUCCUUGUGAUGAAGUUCGUUUUCAGAAAGCUUCAUAAAAUUUUUCAUUUUGGCAUUUACUUUAUGAAUUUAGUACUUGGGCAGGCAACAGGGGUUUAUUUUAUUUAUUUUUUUUAACAGAGGUUUAUUUUGUGUCUACUCUGUUAGUCGGCAUAGAGAGCGAAAGAAUGUGUACAGCACUGUCCUCACAGUGUUAGCACAAUAUGUUUUUAAAUAAGAUGACUUUCAGUCCUCAAAUGAACAAAUUCCUAGUUAACGAGUGAGCCCAUAUUUCCCCAAAUAUGAUAUAUAAAUGUUUGGUGUUAUCUUUGCGGGGGGGGGGGGUGUGGGGAGGCAUAGAUUUUAGAAGCGUAUUAUUUGUCCCACAGAGCCCAUUGGAAAUGGUCCAGCGAAUGUUUGAGAAGCACAAAGAAGGGAGAAGUUUAUGAUGAAUAAAAACAUGGUUUCCAUGCUGAAUUUAGAAGUGAGAGAUCAGAGUGGGCUAGAAAGAGCUAUAAUGAGGCCAGCUAUAGGGGUUUGGAAGGGGAUGAACCAAGGGGCAUGGUCACCUCAAGGGAAGGCUUUUGCUGAGAAAAGGUGGUACUGAUGGGGUUUUCGUGUUUUGGCUGAGGAAUGGGCAUACUUCCUUUCUGCCUUGAGCCAUAGAUAAAGCCUUGUAGGUAAUAGUUACAUAAACAUUUUUUUAUGUUUUAUGUUUUUUAUGUUUAUGUUAGAGCAAAAAAAAGCAUUUGCUCUAGUGGUCUUUUGCCACAGAUGGAACAUGCAGCUAUUACUACCUGAGGCUGGUUUCUAUUCAAACCUGCCUAUGUGUGGAAGUCUUAAGAGUCUAAUUGUGGCAGAGGGAGGUAGUGUUU